GCGAUCGUGACGGACGUGAUCGCCCGUUAACGUUAUAUUUUCUUACCUGUUUUUCCUGAAGGACGAAAGCAUAAAAUCAUUAAAAGCAAUUUUGCUACAUGGCCAAAUAAUGUUUAAUCGGUGUUAUUUGAACAAAAUGAGUUCUAACGAAUUAGUUGCGCAUGGUGAACAUGAACAAGAAUGGGGUGGACACUUCAUUACCAAAGGUUUGGGGCAACUUGUACGUAUGCUAACGGCCUAGUUUACAUCAAGCACUUGAUACACGUACUAACUAGUAAUUUUCUAUUAAAUUAUCUUAAUUUUGGCAAUGAAUUUAAAGAAUAGUAUACUAAGCUGGUAAAAUAUGAAUCGAGAUAAUGAAAUAUAUGUAUCAUAUAUACACGCAUCGUCAAAAGUAAGAUAAUUUAAUAGAAAAUUACGAGUUAGUACGCGUAUUAAGUGCUCGGUGCACACCGGUGUACACACGGUAGAAUUUGUAUCCUUGACGCUCGACUGCCACACACACGCGAAGCCGCGCUCGUACGUGUUUCCAACCAAAUUAAUCGAAUUAAAAUUAUUUUCUAAUACAGAUUAUUUUAAUAAGUAAUUGUUUAAAGAGAUUUACAAGUUUCAUUAAUUAAUUAAAAUUAGGUCUCGACAUAAAGUAACAGUUUUAUGAAUUGAAGCUGUAUUGCCGUGAUAACAUAAUUUUAAUUUAUUAUUAAAAAUCGUAAUUCUAUUUACAUUAUUUUUUAAACAAAUUUUUGUAUCCGAGUAAAUUUCUUUGUGUAAUUAAAAAUUAAAACAGCUCGAGACCAACUGUGGUAUCCCGUAUACCGCCCGUAUAGGCGCAUAGCAAGGGACACAGAGUUUUUCCAGCAUGUCGAUUCGUGUCUUCUCUCUCGACCCAGCGUCGAGUGAGGAAAAUGCUAUUGAAACGCCUCCCACUAUUUUCUGCCCGCAUCCCGACCUCCGACCACUGAACUCAAUACAUAUAGGAAAAAGUCGUCCUAUAGAAAUCGUAAAAGGCCGGUCAGAGAGAGAGGUUACCAUUAUGUUGGCUGUCUCUUUUCUUCUUAAGCUCUUGAAACCCGCCAUUUUUAAUAUUACAAUCAUAUCUAAAAGUUAGUCAAACCUCCUAAAGUGCCUCUGAAUCGUUCUCUGAAUUCAUCAGUCAGCAUACUUUUGUACUACGAUGCUCGUACCGCUAAAAAAAGAGGCCUACAGAAAGAGGCAAUUAACAUAACAUAUUAAUCCUUUCUCUCUGACCGCUUUUUUCCAGCCACGGCUCUUUCCUGUAUGUAUUGAGUUCAGUGCCUCCGACACGCUGCAAAAAAACACGUAUGUACAUGCGCGGCUUCGUGUGUGUGCGGCAGCCGAGCGUCAGUGCGGAGAGACACUAUUUCUGCCGGUGCGUGUAAACUAGGCCAAUAAUGACAACGAAACUAUCAAGAGACCAACUCGGAAAAGUCGUGACAACCAAUUCAGCGACUUCUUUUGAGAAGUGUUCGGGAUGACAACCUUACUGUUAAUAAUACGAUGCACUACGUGACCAAUGAUUCUGCAAAAUUUGCGUUUGCAUACAAAAAAGCUACAUGCUAUGUGCUAUUAAUAAUGAUGUUAAAGUGUUUGUAAAACGUAACUGACUUGUGCAUUUAUAAAGCAUUACUCACUGGAUGCGAGGAUGAUCUUUAUGACAAUAACAGUUACAUGAAUAUGUUGCGUGCCCUACACGAAAAGGGCCUACACUGGCAUGAAUAGUGUAAAGCAUACAUAAGAAAAAUAUGUGGAAUAUAAUUUUCCUAAUUGCCUGUAGAUGCGACUGAUAUAGACGUUUGUGAUUAUAUUAUUAAGAAUUGUGUCGCUGUUCAUCUUGACAAACCUGCUAAUAAAUUCAAUUUACUUGUAUUUAUGAGUUAUGAUCAAAAAAUUGUUUGUCCUCAUAAAUCACAAAUGCGCCGUUGAGGAGUUGGUUGGGGUGAAGCAUCAUAUUUUGAAGCGUGCCAAGAGUGUUGGUAAUGGAUACACCUUAACAUUGCAGGAAAGAUUAAAUGUUACUAAGUUACGGUGCAACAUUGAUGUGCAAAUGGAAUACUUGUCCACUGGAGAUUGUCUUCCUGUUUGGGACUUAUGCAGUACUCUGGUUUUAUAAUUGUUGUAGAAAAUAUCCAGGGUUAACAAGUAACGCGUUACUUGUAAUGUCGUUACCGUUACAAUUACUUCUUUUUGAUAACGAAUAAUUAACGGCGUUACAUUUCAUAAUUUAUAACAAUAACGGUAAUGAGUUACAUUUUGUCGAUAAUUGUAACAAUUUGAAUAGUUACUUUUAUCGUUACUUUGUAUAGAUGGAGUGUAUUAAUUUGUUAGAUGAUAGCAAUCCGACAAUAUCAAACAAUUUUUAUAAUCAAAUAAUUCUAAUGUUGAGAUGACAAAUAAUUAUGCAAAAUUAAAUAGAUAUAAGGCUAAUAAACGAGCAAUAACGGUUGUCGUAUAUAAAAUAUUUAUUCUGUUAUGAGGUCAAUGGGACGUUUCGGACUUACUUGUCCUUCUUCAGCCGUGUAUAAGUUAUUUACAUAAUUUCGAGUCAAGACACAUUAGAUUCCUUUGUAUUGAGUAUGUCCCCGUUUUGACCCGGAUUUUCAUCAAAAAAACUUUGAACUGGUUAUAAAACUAUUGAGAGACAACGGCUAUCCUCUAGAACUAAUAUUUAACAAAAUUAAUCUCAGACUAAAACAACUUGUCAACGACAGAAUUACAAACAAAGGAAAAAACACUCAGAAGGAAAGCGAAUCUGAAAAUGCAAAAAAAUUUUUCACUAUCCCGUAUAUAAAAAAUGUAUCCGAAAUGGUAAAUUCUGUCAUUAACAAGAAUAAAUUUAUAACAGGCUACAGAUGUUUAAAUCGACUCAAUAUAAUCGUAAAAGCACAGAAAGACAGAGAUAAUUCUAUCUCCACGAACAACGUUGUAUACAAAUUAAAAUGUAACGAUUGCGAUGCUUCUUACGUGGGCUAAACAAAAAGAAAACUAAACACGAGAAUCAAAGAACACAUGAGUAACUUAAAAUCUGAUUCAUCGAAGCAUUCUGUAAUUUCAGAUCAUAUCAUUCAACAUAGUCAUUCAAUAGAUUGGAAUAAUGCAACAAUCUUAGAUAUAGAACCCAGAUGUAGAACUACAAAAGACUUAUUUCAGAAAUGAUACACAUAAAAGAACAAACCAACGGUCUCAACUUGCAAACAGACACUUGUGAGCUUCUACAUGAGUCUUAUUUUGAAUUACUGAACAGAUUAGUUUGCUAAGUUUAAGAACACAUUGUAACGUAUUGAUCUCGAUCCACCGUCUCCUUGAACUCAGUUUAGAUUUAACGUCGAGCAAAACGGACACGCUCCUGCGUUUGUUACUUCGGCCAUAGUAUCAUUAUAUAUUCUCUAACGGCCGCAUUGUGUUGAUCUGCCCAAAUUAUUAUCAUGGAACCGGUUGACACUAAAAUUCGCACACAGAGACACGCAUUUACGAAACGUUGUCUCACCAAUGGCUUAGCGUUACGGAACAUCUACAUCAUGCCAACAUGGUAAAAAUGACGGACAGAUUGCAACAUCCAGAGAUACUCAAUACAGAGAAAUCUAAUGUGUCUCGACUCGAAAUUAUGUAAAUAACUUAUACACGGCUAAAGAAAGACAAAGAGAAGAACGGUAACGGUAACGAGUUACUUUUAUAAAGUAACUUUGCCAACCCUGAAAAUAUCAAUAGAAUGCGUCAAGAGUCAUUUUCGUGCGAUACACACAGGUGCAUUCUUUCAAGAAAUGAGAACAACUGAAGAGACUAGACAAUUGUUGCCUGGGGAAAAUAUUGCAAGCGUUACUAGUCUAAUAGUAUCUAUAGCCAAAGAUAUUCUAUUACCGUUCUCGAAACUUGCAAAAGACGUUCAAACGUUAGAUGCUAAUUUAGAUCCCAAAAAGCUAAAGACGAGCGACAUAAUGCAAAAUUUAUUGGAACAUCGUAUGAAAGAGCAUUGUAAACUUCAGGAAAGAUGGGCAUCUUGUCAAUCUAAACUUGUUGCUUUAUAAAACUUAUCCAAACAAUCAGCUUUCUGAACACGAUUCGUCAUUAAAUGCUUAUUAAUGAUUAUGUAUUAAAGCAAUGGCGGCAAAUCCCAAUUUUAAAUUAACACAAACUUUAUUCAAGGAGGCUAUUACUGAAGUAUUGAGAUCGUCAAAGCAACGACUUUGAAACCGACAAGAUGCAAGUUGAAAAUAAUGCUGAGAAUAGCAGCGAUAAUAAUGAUUAAACUGGUGAGUCAAACAGCAAACACGACAAUUAAUUAACAUUAAUAACAUUAAUAACAUAACCUCGAAUUAUCAGUUGCUUCUGAAAUAGACAGAGUAAUACAGUUG